rnacentral:rRNA from 1 species
UACGUAGGGUGCAAGCGUUGUCCGGAAUUAUUGGGCGUAAAGAGCUCGUAGGCGGUGUGUCGCGUCGGCCGUGAAAACCUGGGGCUCAACUCUGGGCGUGCGGUCGAUACGGGCAUCACUUGAGUUCGGCAGGGGAGACUGGAAUUCCUGGUGUAGCGGUGAAAUGCGCAGAUAUCAGGAGGAACACCGGUGGCGAAGGCGGGUCUCUGGGCCGAUACUGACGCUGAGGCGCGAAAGCGUGGGGAGCAAACAGG